rnacentral:rRNA from 1 species
UACGUAGGGACCAAGCGUUGUUCGGAUUUACUGGGCGUAAAGGGCGCGUAGGCGGCGUGUUAAGUCACUUGUGAAAUCUCUGAGCUUAACUCAGAACGGUCAAGUGAUACUGAUGUGCUAGAGUGCAGAAGGGGCAACCGGAAUUCUUGGUGUAGCGGUGAAAUGCGUAGAUAUCAAGAGGAACACCUGAGGUGAAGACGGGUUGCUGGGCUGACACUGACGCUGAGUGCGCGAAAGCUAGGGUAGCAAACGGG